UAUAACCAAAAUUGUCGAUUUCUCGACUUUUACUUUGUUAGUAUAUUUAUAUUGUAUAUGCAUCCAUACACACCGUAUCUUACAGAGUUUUAUUGCCCAUUUUACAGAAUUUUAAGUUACUAUCAUAUAAUACGGCUUUCUGUGGUUUAACUGACGGUUCUAGUAACGAUGCUCCCUCUCAUCGUACUUCCAAGUUAGAUGCUCCCCCAUUUCCCUGAUCCUAUUACCUGUACCUAUCAGUUCUUCACCGAACUGACGGAGUUCAGCUAGGUUUUCAUUACUCAUGGGAGGAUUUGGGAGUGGUUCUGGGUCAAAUUGUGGAAGGAAGCUAUAAGGACUGUUAACUAUAUUUUGGAAUUGCCAGUCAUUGGUCCACCAUUCCUCCAUUUGGCCUAAUGGUCUGGUAUGAACUAGUGGUUCUGGAAUAGCUGGUCCUAGGUUUAGUGGGAAUUGAACUGUAGCCGGGUAAGAAAAGAGAUUAUCGUUGAUAGGCUCUAAAACAUCACAAUUCUCCAAUAGGCGAUCUAUUUCGUCCUGGA
rnacentral:lncRNA from 1 species